UACGUAGGCAGCGAGCGUUGUUCGGAGUUACUGGGCGUAAAGGGUGCGUAGGCGGUCCCUUAAGUUUGGUGUGAAAUCUCCCGGCUCAACUGGGAGGGUGCGCCGGAUACUGAGGGGCUAGAGUGCGGGAGAGGAAAGUGGAAUUCCUGGUGUAGCGGUGAAAUGCGUAGAUAUCGGGAGGAACACCUGUGGCGAAAGCGGCUCUCUGGACCACAACUGACGCUGAGGCGCGAAAGCUAGGGGAGCAAACAGG
rnacentral:rRNA from 1 species